UCGUCCCAUUUUAGGCAUGUACGGAACUAUUGUCGACUCAUAUGGCUUCUUGUAUGAUCAGAUCUUCCUUGUAACAGUCAUACGUAUCUUUUUUAUUGUCUCCGGAUCUAAGUUAAGAAAGAUGAAAACUUCACCAUAUCGUAUUGCUCAAAAUUCUUACAAAACAACGUUGAAAUAAGUUUAUGAAAGAUUCUUGAUCAACUCCUAUUGAACUUUUGAUUCAAGUUGUUGUGCACAUACUACACUUCGUAAAAGUGUAUUCAUUUCGCACACCUCCACAUCUAUUUUUUUAACUUUAUUUUAUCUAGUCUUAAUAACCUUUGUGAAUGAUUUGACACUUAUCAAUGAUGCAACUGUAGCUCGUUAACGUUAUAUUCAGCGCGUGGGACAUGAGUAUUGUACCAUAUACACUAGGGUGUAUUAUAAUAUUUGUGCUAAAAUGGGUUUACCAAAAAAGGGCGCCCAUUUACUUAAUCUAUUGUACCUCAACAAUUUUUCACUUCUUAACAAAUUUAUUCUCUUAUGUCAUAUUUUCAUUUUGAUAUAAUA
rnacentral:lncRNA from 1 species